rnacentral:tRNA from 1 species
AAGCUUAGGAUAAACGAAACCAAGAGCCUUCAAAGCUCUAAACAAGAGAUGGCCUCUUAGUUUCUGCU